ncrna:23S ribosomal RNA from Escherichia coli (PDB 3J46, chain 4)
UGAACAUUGAGCCUUGAUGUGUAGGAUAGGUGGGAGGCUUUGAAGUGUGGACGCCAGUCUGCAUGGAGCCGACCUUGAAAUACCACCCUUUAAUGUUUGAUGUUCUAA